rnacentral:rRNA from 1 species
GAUGAACGCUGGCGGCGUGCCUAAUACAUGCAAGUCGAGCGAACAGACGAGGAGCUUGCUCCUCUGACGUUAGCGGCGGACGGGUGAGUAACACGUGGAUAACCUACCUAUAAGACUGGGAUAACUUCGGGAAACCGGAGCUAAUACCGGAUAAUAUAUUGAACCGCAUGGUUCAAUAGUGAAAGACGGUUUUGCUGUCACUUAUAGAUGGAUCCGCGCCGCAUUAGCUAGUUGGUAAGGUAACGGCUUACCAAGGCAACGAUGCGUAGCCGACCUGAGAGGGUGAUCAGCCACACUGGAACUGAGACACGGUCCAGACUCCUACGGGAGGCAGCAGUAGGGAAUCUUCCGCAAUGGGCGAAAGCCUGACGGAGCAACGCCGCGUGAGUGAUGAAGGUCUUCGGAUCGUAAAACUCUGUUAUUAGGGAAGAACAGAUGUGUAAGUAACUGUGCACGUCUUGACGGUACCUAAUCAGAAAGCCACGGCUAACUACGUG